GACGUAGGGCGCGAGCGUUGUCCGGAUUUAUUGGGCGUAAAGAGCUCGUAGGCGGCUUGUCGCGUCUGCUGUGAAAAUCCGGGGCUCAACCCCGAACUUGCAGUGGGUACGGGCAGACUAGAGUGUGGUAGGGGAGACUGGAAUUCCUGGUGUAGCGGUGAAAUGCGCAGAUAUCAGGAGGAACACCGAUGGCGAAGGCAGAUCUCUGGGCCGUAACU
rnacentral:rRNA from 1 species